rnacentral:rRNA from 1 species
GACGAACGCUGGCGGCGUGCUUAACACAUGCAAGUCGAGCGGUAAGGCCCUUUCGGGGGUACACGAGCGGCGAACGGGUGAGUAACACGUGGGUGACCUGCCCUCAGCUCUGGGAUAAAGCCCGGGAAACUGGGUCUAAUACUGGAUAUGACUCCAUGACGCAUGUUGUGGGGUGGAAAGCCUUGUGCGGCUGAGGAUGGGCCCGCGGCCUAUCAGCUUGUUGGUGGGGUGAUGGCCUACCAAGGCGACGA